GGUGAACGCUGGCGGCGUGCCUAAUACAUGCAAGUCGAGCGAACAGACGAGGAGCUUGCUCCUCUGACGUUAGCGGCGGACGGGUGAGUAACACGUGGAUAACCUACCUAUAAGACUGGGAUAACUUCGGGAAACCGGAGCUAAUACCGGAUCAUAUAUUGAACCGCAUGGUUCAAUAGUGAAAGACGGUUUUGCUGUCACUUAUAGAUGGAUCCGCGCCGCAUUAGCUAGUUGGUAAGGUAACGGCUUACCAAGGCAACGAUGCGUAGCCGACCUGAGAGGGUGAUCGGCCACACUGGAACUGAGACACGGUCCAGACUCCUACGGGAGGCAGCAGUAGGGAAUCUUCCGCAAUGGGCGAAAGCCUGACGGAGCAACGCCGCGUGAGUGAUGAAGGUCUUCGGAUCGUAAAACUCUGUUAUUAGGGAAGAACAAAUGUGUAAGUAACUAUGCACGUCUUGACGGUACCCAAUCAGAAAGCCACGGCUAACUACGUG
rnacentral:rRNA from 1 species